UACGAAGGGUGCAAGCGUUACUCGGAAUUACUGGGCGUAAAGCGUGCGUAGGUGGUUCGUUAAGUCUGAUGUGAAAGCCCUGGGCUCAACCUGGGAAUGGCAUUGGAAACUGGCGACCUAGAGUGCGGUAGAGGGUAGUGGAAUUCCCGGCGUAGCAGUGAAAUGCGUAGAGAUGCGGAGGAACACCGAUGGCGAAGGCAGCCCCCUGGGCUAACACUGACGCUCAGGCACGAAAGCGUGGGGAGCAAACAGG
rnacentral:rRNA from 1 species